CGACGCUGGAACGGCUGCUAAUACCGGAUGAUAUCGCGAGAUCAAAGAUUUAUCGCCUGAGGAUGAGCCCGCGUUGGAUUAGGUAGUUGGUGGGGUAAAGGCCUACCAAGCCGACGAUCCAUAGCUGGUCUGAGAGGAUGAUCAGCCACACUGGGACUGAGACACGGCCCAGACUCCUACGGGAGGCAGCAGUGGGGAAUAUUGGACAAUGGGCGCAAGCCUGAUCCAGCAAUGCCGCGUGAGUGAUGAAGGCCUUAGGGUUGUAAA
rnacentral:rRNA from 1 species